AGUCAAUAGAUACCCUGGUAGUCCACGCCGUAAACGAUGAGUACUAGGUGUAGGAGGUAUCGACUCCUUCUGUGCCGCAGUUAACACAAUAAGUACUCCGCCUGGGAAGUACGGUCGCAAGAUUAAAACUCAAAGGAGUUGACGGGGGCCCGCACAAGCGGCGGAGCAUGUGGUUUAAUUCGAAGCAACGCGAAGAACCUUACCUAGACUUGACAUCUCCUGAAUAGCGCAGAGAUGCGUGAAGCCCUUCGGGGCAGGAAGACAGGUGGUGCAUGGUUGUCGUCAGCUCGUGUCGUGAGAUGUUGGGUUAAGUCCCGCAACGAGCGCAACCCCUAUUAUUAGUUGCUACCAUUAAGUUGAGCACUCUAAUGAGACUGCCCGGGUUAACCGGGAGGAAGGCGGGGAUGACGUCAAAUCAUCAUGCCCCUUAUGUCUAGGGCUACACACGUGCUACAAUGGUGAGAACAACGAGAUGCAAUACCGCGAGGUGGAGCAAAACUUGAAAACUCAUCUCAGUUCGGAUUGUAGG
rnacentral:rRNA from 1 species